rnacentral:rRNA from 1 species
UUAGGAAUAUUCGUCAAUGGGGGAAACCCUGAACGAGCAAUGCCGCGUGAGUGAUGACGGUCUUAAUGAUUGUAAAACUCUGUUGCAAAGGAAGAAUAGCUAUCAUAGGUAAUGAUGAUAGUGUGACGGUACUUUGCCAGAAAGCCCCGGCUAACUACGUGCCAGCAGCCGCGGUAAUACGUAGGGGGCGAGCGUUAUCCGGAUUUAUUGGGCGUAAAGCGUUCGUAGGCGGUUUGUUAAGUCUAAGAUUUAAGCCCGAGGCUCAACCUCGGUUCGUUUUAGAAACUGGCAGACUUGAGUGUGGUAGAGGCAAGUGGAAUUUCUAGUGUAGCGGUUAAAUGCGUAGAUAUUAGAAGGAACACCAGUGGCGAAGGCGGCUUGCUGGGCCAUUACUGACGCUGAGGAACGAAAGCGUGGGGAGCAAAUAGG